AUUUAUAUAGUAUAAAAAUUAUAAUUGAUUUCCAAUCAAAUGAUCUAUAUAGUAAUAGUAUAAAUA
rnacentral:tRNA from 1 species